GUUGAUCUGCGGUGUUCGGAGUUCGACGAUUAUGCGGAAUCCACAUUAUUAAUUCGGGAGCGGUCAUUCGUGGCGAUAGGCAAGGUCUGUAUUUAUACGGAAAGUCUGAGGCGUCAAGAUGCGGCACCCACCUGCUGAAAGCGGGUUCAUCUUUUUGCCGAAGUGCGGCACAGGCGGAUUUUUU
rnacentral:other from 1 species